UGAAGCUGUGGAGUGUGACAAUGGUGUUUGUGUUCUCUGCAAUCAAACGCCAUUAUCACACUAAAUAGCUACGGU
rnacentral:pre_miRNA from 8 species